UACGUAGGGCGCGAGCGUUGUCCGGAAUUAUUGGGCGUAAAGAGCUCGUAGGCGGCUUGUCACGUCUGCUGUGAAAACGCGGGGCUUAACUCCGCGCUUGCAGUGGGUACGGGCAGGCUUGAGUAUAGUAGGGGAGACUGGAAUUCCUGGUGUAGCGGUGGAAUGCGCAGAUAUCAGGAGGAACACCGAUGGCGAAGGCAGGUCUCUGGGCUAUAACUGACGCUGAGGAGCGAAAGCAUGGGGAGCGAACAGGAUUA
rnacentral:rRNA from 1 species